rnacentral:rRNA from 1 species
UACGUAGGGUGCGAGCGUUAAUCGGAAUCACUGGGCGUAAAGGGCGCGUAGGUGGUGGCUUAAGCGUGCGGUGAAAGCUCGGGGCUCAACUCCGAGUCGGCCGUGCGAACUGGGCUCACUGGAGCAUAGUAGAGGCAGGUGGAAUUCCGGGUGUAGCGGUGGAAUGCGUAGAGAUCCGGAAGAACACCGGUGGCGAAGGCGGCCUGCUGGGCUAUGGCUGACACUGAGGCGCGACAGCGUGGGGAGCAAACAGG